ACCCUAUGCAAAACGAACAAUAUAACCUUUAUUAAUCAUCAUAACCUAGAAAACCGAUAAAUAUAUAUAUAAAAACCAGUGUAAUUAGUAAAAAAACAAAAAAACUGUCCUUGGAAGUGAGACGGCCCACAGAGUCGCGCCAAAAACGUGGAUCUACAGGCCAGGCAUCUUAUGUUUAACCAGGUGUACAAGGUGCUGGCUUUCAAGGGCCCCUCCACACCUACAGACACACGCACACACCACCAGAUACAGGAAGAAUUAAUUGAUGAGCUACAGAACUACAGCAUCGUUCAGGUGGCAGCCGGAGACCAGCACUCUCUUGCUCUCACCUCCUGGGGCCUGCUUGGCGUCAACUCCUGCGACAGUCACACCGCCACACGCAAGCUUGUCAAGAGUCUGGCCAGGAAGGUGACAGUGCAGCUGGCCUGUGGCGCCAACCACACCCUUGCCUUGACUGCUGAUGGUGACAAAAUACCUUGGGCCAGUUGGCACUUAGACACUGACAGGGGCCCCAGAAGGGAACCCUGCCCUGGUGACCUCCUUGGCUGGCACCCUCUUAGUCCUGCUGGCUGCUGCGGGUCACCACUCUGCUGCCAUGACCCAGGCCGGCUACCUGCUGUUGUGGGGGUCAAACAAGCAGGGUCAACUGGGCUAUACUCCCAAGGGUGAUCCUCUUGUUAGUGACACCCCAGCGUUGGUGCCAAAUUUGCCUCUUAUUCUGAACCAAUUGGGUAUGUGGCACUUGGAGAGAGCCACACAACGGCACUCGACUCUUUAGGGAAGGCUCCUCCUUGGCCAAUCAGCACCGAGGCAGAGUUGAUUGAUAUACAGGUGUGAAUUCAGCUGCCUCCUCGCUGUUCCCGUUGCCAGGAUACCAUGUGAUCGAGGCAGUGUUGGGGAAGGUGAAGUUAUUCAUCAGAUUCGUCUUUUAAACUUCUAAUAUGUAUAUAAUGUCGUGCUAUUGAAAUUUAUGAUGCCGUGCGAAUUUCAAUCAUCCUUCAAAUAUAAUUGGGAAGUAUUUAUUUAAGGCACAUUUUUCAGUUUCUUGUCUGUCAUACUGCUAUGCUUUUCAAAUUUCCUUUCUUGAAUGUGACUGAACUUUUGACGCAAUUCACACAAAAUAUCGACACAUUUCUUGCAUAGUGCAUUGUACUUUUCAAACUUGCCCGGUUUUUUCGUAUCAUGUUUGUCCAGUCAUAGUUUUUUAGGCAACCAAUCCCCAAACAUCUCAUACUAAGAAUCUCGCCACCUUUUCCACGCCUCAUUCUUUUCAAAGGUUGUUUUGUAAUGAAUCAAUUAUCAAACAUUAAGGAUCUCAGCACAUACAAGCUUCAUGUGUCUAGGAGCUAAUGGUCCGUUUCCCUUGCAGGUGUGACGUGUGCUGCUUCACUCCAUCCCAUGAACAGUUGCCCACAGCAAUCUCUACCACAUCAGGCCUGACAUACUUCAUUGUGAUCAGGGAGUCGAGUUUCAUCAGGAAGAGAGGCUGUGUCACUACCUGUAAGCCUGACGAGGUGUUAGUUAAGUCAAGGAGCGUCAUCAGGAAGAGGGGCUGAGUCCUGCUACCUGUAAGCCUGACAAGAGGAGUCAAGGAAUUUUUCAUUGCAAUCAAGUUGUAAGAAGAUUGUAAGGCAAGAAUUUUAAGCAGGAAUAAUUGUCAAGCAGUUAACAGCAGGAAGAAUGCAGCGAGAAAAGGGUACAAGUUUUCAAGUUGUAACAAGAUUGUAAGGCAAGAAUUUUAAGCAGGAAAAAUAGUCAAGCAGU